UACAGAGGGGGCAAGCGUUGUUCGGAAUUACUGGGCGUAAAGGGCGCGUAGGCGGCCUGUUAAGUCGAACGUGAAAUCCCUGGCUCAACCCAGGAACUGCGUCCGAUACUGGCAGGCUUGAAUUCGGGAGAGGGAUGCGGAAUUCCAGGUGUAGCGGUGAAAUGCGUAGAUAUCGGGAAGGAACACCAGUGGCGAAGGCGAUCACCUGGGGUUGUUCGUGACGCUGAGGAGCGAAA
rnacentral:rRNA from 1 species